CCAUGUCCUAAUAUGAAAUUAAACUUAGUGUAAGGAAAUUAGAUAACGGUGGCUAAAUGCCAGAGGGGAUGCGUCAUUAAGAGGAGUUACUAUGGGUGUGGCGUAAGGAGGAAUAAUGUAUAAAACGUGUGUGCCAAGACUGGAAAGGCAGCUGUACUCAUGAACCAGCUCGGCUUUUGUUAUGUUGUAAUAAAUGUCUAUUUGAACUCACAGGCUCCGGUAUUUGUGAAAUAUGAUUGACAAAUAUUUCCACAACAUAAAUGAUGAUCUUGCCAGAAGUGGGGAAAAGGGACCAGAGACGGUGAAAAUCUGCAGCUGUGAAUGGGCUUCCUGGAUGGACUACACAAAACACAACUUGUAAAUACAGAUUGGCGGAUUGCCCCCCCUUGGUUUGUGCCGUGGCGGAGAUCAUCGUGAGCCAUACUCUGCCUUCUCUCAGGAUGGAGGACCUGAGACCUAGGACCAUGCCUCAGGACUACCUGGCCUGAUGACUCCUUGCUGUCCCCAGAGUACCUGGCCGUGCUGCUCCUGCGGCUAUGGAACCCUGACCUGUUCACCGCACGUGCUACCUGUUCCAGACCUGCUGUUUUCAACUCUCUAGAGACAGCAGGAGCGGAAGAGAUACUCUUAAUGAUCGGCUAUGAAAAGCCAACUGACAUUUGCUCCUGAGGUGCUGACCUGUUACACCCUCGACAACCACUGUGAUUAUUAUUAUUUGACCCUGCUGGUCAUCUAUAAACAUUUGAACAUCUUGGCCAUGUUCUGUUAUAAUCUCCACCCGGCACAGCCAGAAGAGGACCUGCCACUCCUCAUAGCUUGGUUCCUCUCUAGGUUUCUUCCUAGGUUCUGGCCUUUCUAAGGAGUUUUUCCUAGCCACCGUGCUUCUACACCUGCAUUGCUUGCUGUUUGGGGUUUUAGGCUGGGUUUCUGUACAGCACUUUGUGACAUCAGGCUGAUGUAAGAAGGGCUUCAUAAAUACAUUUGAUUGAUUGAUACAGACUCUGCAUUGACCUCUUUGGGAGAACAAGUACAGGCCACUUGCAAAAUUACAUGGCAGAACAGGCAAGCUUUAAAUUGGCUCUUGGCAGAGAAAGGUAGAGUUUGUGUUAUGUUUGGAGAUGAACUCUGCACCUUCAUCCCCAAUAACACUGCCCCAGAUGGUUCAUUACUAAGGCAAUGACCAAGCUGAAAGGACUACGACAGGAAUUAAAGGACAAUGCUGGACAUGAUUCCCAUGCCUGGGACUGGUUGGACUCAAUCCUGGGAAAAUGGGGUGCAAUGUUUACAAAAAUGGCAAUCAUGAUAGGCAAAGCACUAGUGGUGAUGGGUGUUGUAUUUUACCUUUACUGAAAUCUCUGCUCAUUCAAACCCCAGAAAAACAGAUGACUGUACAAACUGUCAUCACCAACCCAUUUGUGGAGGUGUACCCUGUUCUUGGAGCUCCUGAACAAUACACUGACAAAAGUGGAAAAUGCCUAUGGGGUAGCUCCAGGGGGAGGAUGAGGUUGUCGUACCUAUCAAGAACAACAUAAAUUGUUAUGUUGUUCUUCCUGACAUAUAUCCAAUUCCGGACUAUGUCGUGGAUCCUAUUCCUGAUCACAGGAUUCAACCAAUAUACGUGGUGCUCAAAAGACUGAAGAGAAGGAGAUGGACAUUAUCAUCAUAUUGAACCUUUGAUUGCAUUGUAUCAUAGGGGUGAUUGCCCACUGUGUUGUGAUAAAGAGCGUGUUUAGUGAAUAUGUAUGAUACUAUAAAUGAAGUUAGACCUUCUGUUUAUAUGACCUCCUAGACAUGUAAGUGACAUAGGGUUUUCUGGUUACGAGAAUCCACAUACCACAUACCUUAAUCCUCUAACAGGUUUUUUUAUUAUUGACCUAAUAGUUGUUAGAGAGGUGUCUGUGAGGGAGGGCCAUGUGUUUAGGUAUCAUAUUCAGAACGACAUAAGGGUUGAUGAGGUUUGGUUUAGUAUUUUAGAUUUUUAUUGUUUUUAUUUUAUUUUACAUAACUGAAACUCUCGGUCAAGGCUGAGAUAUGCAUGCAUAUGCUUUUAUACUGUAUGUUGAAGGAUAAAUAGGCUGAGGAGGAAUCUUGAACUUCUUUCAGGCUCUGUGAAGGGACUUGUGUCAGUGUGGGGCUUUUUAGCCCCAGAGGAGGGAUAUAUUGGUAAUUUUCCAGUACAUAUGUGGCAAUUAUUUAAUUCAGAAGGAGCCAGUAAACUAGUGCACUCUAUAUGUGCUCUGGGUCAUUAGACAUGCACCUGUCUGCGGUUGGACACGACUGGAUAUUCCUGUAACUGUGUUAUGGCCUACUAUGUACUGUUGCUAUGGUUACACCUCUUGGGGUUUUCCAGAACAUAGGUGUCCCUUUCAGAGGAGUUAGCAGGAUGACAUGUCUGGUUAUUUUUGUAAAGUACCAAGGACUGUGGCUAGGGUCCUACAUGUAUGCACCUGUCUUAGUCAAGAACAGGUCUGUCUAUUUCUGUGGCUCUACGGGUUCCAUGUCCUAAUGUGAAACUAAACUUAGUGAACGCAAUAAGAUAAUGGUGGCUAAAUGCCAGAGGGGAUGAGUCAUUAAGAGGAGUUACUAUGAGUGUGACGUAAGGAGGAAUAAUGUAUAAAACAUGUGUGCCAAGCCUGGAAAGGCAAUUGUAUUCAUGAACCAGCUCGGCUUUUGUUAUGCUGUAAUAAAAGUAUAUUUGAACUCACGGGCUCUGGAAUUUGUGAAAUAUGAUUGACCGAAUAUUUCCACGACACCGCCUGUCCAAACUGAGCAGCAAUUGGGGUAAAGGGCCUUGGUCAGGGAGGUGACCAAG